rnacentral:rRNA from 1 species
GUGGGGAAUUUUGGACAAUGGGCGAAAGCCUGAUCCAGCCAUGCCGCGUGUGUGAAGAAGGUCUUCGGAUUGUAAAGCACUUUAAGUUGAGAGGAAGGGCAGUAAGUUAAUACCUUGCUGUUUUGACGUUACCAACAGAAUAAGCACCGGCUAACUUCGUGCCAGCAGCCGCGGUAAUACGAAGGGUGCAAGCGUUAAUCGGAAUUACUGGGCGUAAAGCGCGCGUAGGUGGUUUUGUAAGUUGGAGGUGAAAUCCCCGGGCUCAACAUGGGAACUGCCUCCAAAACUGCAUGACUAGAGUACGGUAGAGGGUAGUGGAAUUUCCUGUGUAGCGGUGAAAUGCGUAGAUAUAGGAAGGAACACCAGUGGCGAAGGCGACUACCUGGACUGAUACUGACACUGAGGUGCGAAAGCGUGGGGAGCAAACAGGAUUAGAAACCCGGGUAGUCC